GCCAAGACAAACAGGCAAAGGCCAGGGUGGACAAAAGGACAGACAUCUGUUGCCUGUGGCUUCAAAGCUCCCUCCUACCCACCAUGGACUUGUGCUGGCUCCUGGGAGUGAUUCUGCUUCUCUUGGGGACCCCCCUGACCCAGGCUGAGCCUCUGUAUAUCCUGGUGACCCCCUGAGUAUUGAGGGUCGGCACCCCAGAGAACAUCCACAUCCAGGCCCAUUCAGACUCCACAGAGCCUCUCACGAGGGCCCUCGAGGUGAACCUCACAGUGUGGGAAUUCCCCAUGAGGAAGACAGUGGUUGCUAGGAGUCAUCUCGUUCUCUCACCAGGAAACAACUUUAUGGGCCAAGCACUUGUGAUGGUGGGUGACAGGCCAGGAUAGGUGGCGGGCCACUGAGGGAAGCUCUGAGGGUCAGCAGUAAAAGGUGGCAGGCACUUAGGGGACUGACUUCCUGUGAGGGACAAUGGAAAGUGGAUUCAGGGCCUGAAUGCAUUUAUUGUUCUUCUCAUGUCCUGUCCAUUUAUUCUGGUGAGGGAGUUGUUUGUUUAUUUGGGUUUUGUUUGUUUGUUUGUUUCUGAGACAGAGUCUCACUUUGUCACCCUCAGUAGAGUGCAGUGGCAUCAUAGCUCACAGCAACCUCAAACUCUUGAGCUCAAGUGAUUCUCUUGCCUCAGUCUCCUGUGUAGCUGGGACUACAGGCGCCAGCCACAACUCCUGACUAUUUUUGGAGACAGGGUCUCACUCUAGCUCAGACUGGAUGUCCUGUCCAUUUAGAAGUUAAAAGUUCACUAAACCUGGGUUUCAAGAAACCCUCCAAAAGCCCCUAUGAUUCCUCUGUGUGACUUAUAAAAGGCGCUGUCUGCUGGUAGCAUAGGAAGCUGAGCAUGAACUGAAUUGCAGUCCCUCCCUUGGCUGGAUGCCCUUGCUCAGUGAGCAACCUCCACAGCUGCACAUGGAGACCUUGUUCCCAAAGGCAAAGCCAGAAGCCCCUCACUCAAUUGCUCCUCCCAGGAUCUGGCUCAAAGAUUUGUCUCCAGGGAGGCAGACUUAAACAGAGCCUAAGGGGUGUGGAGAUCUCUCCCCAGGUUCCGGAAAGCCUGAUUUACCCCUUACAACCAGGGAAACAAUAUGUUGUCAUCCAUGCAACCUGGGAACCCACCUCGGUUUCCUCGUUCAUGGAGAAGAUGGUGCUGGUGGCUCCCCAUGAUGGCUACAUCUUCAUCCAGACAGACAAGCCCAUCUACACUCCCAAGCACUUGGGUAUAGUCCCCAGGGACUUGGCCUGGGCCAUGCAUUGAUGCUCACCCCUGAUUCCCCCUGAAGUUCAGCAUGUUCCCAUGCCUUAAAAUCUUCUCCAUCUCCCAAGUACUCCUUCUACCCAAGAUCUCAAAGACCACCACCUCCCUCUCCAAACUCUCUCUGUUCUUUCUUCCCUCUGUCCGAUAUUCAGAGUCCUCCCUUACCCUCUAAUUCAGUACCAGGUGUUCACUGUGAACCACAAGAUGGACCCUGUGAUCAGGACAUUCACUCUUGACAUCAAAAAGGCUCUCCCAAUACAGUGGGGGUGGAUCCUGGACUGUGGAGUUAUGUGGUGUGCUGAAGACCUGGAGUCAUGGACUGCUGGAGCCCUUCUAGAGGGGACUCACCAGCCCCUCCUCUGUCCCCACACAACCCUGAGGGAGUCACUGUGAUCAGCCAUAUGUUCCUGGCCAGGGAAGGCGUUUUCUCCAGCUCUUUUGACCUCCCAGAGCUUGUCAGGUGUCUUGCUGGGAGUCCAAGGGAUGGUGUGGGAGGUUGAUAUGCUCUGUCUCCACCUCUCCUAACUUUCUGUGCCUCAGUUUUGGGACCUGGACCAUUGAAGCCAGUUAUCCAAGUGCAGCCAAGCAGAGGUUCAAGGCCACCUUCAAUGUGAAGGAGUAUGUCCUCCCAUCUUUUGAUGUCCAGCUGAUUCCAAACAAGACUUUCUUCUACCUCAAGGAUGAGGCUCUGGGUAUUGACAUUCAGGCCUGGUGAGCUUCCUCAUCCCCAUCCUUACCAAAGGACUGGGAGCAGAAGAAGCUGAAUGAGUAGAGAGAAGCAGGCCACUUCUAUAGUACCUAAGGUGGAAACUGAGGAGUCUCUCCAGCCAGAGGAGCAGUCUUCAGCCAGGAUGACAGCUUGGCCUUACUUGACUCAGGAUGGGUCAGAGAACUUCCUGCACAUUGAAGUAAAGACAUUGGGCACAGAGGUUGGCAGCAGCAUCCGAAUGAGUCUCAACACAAGGCAUCAAAACCCUGCAACAAAGGAUAAGAUUACUCAUUUCACCAUCCUGGUGAGAGAGACUAGGACCAGGGUCUGAGUCAAGAAAUUCUUUCCAGGCUGAGUGUAGUGUCUCACACCUGUGAUCCUAGCACUCUGGGAGGCCAAGGCAGGUGGAUCAUUUGAGCUCAGGAAUUUGAUACCAGCCCAAGUGAGAGUGAGACCCCCAUCUCUACUAAAAAUGAAAAACUGAGGCAAGAGGAUCGCUUGAGCCCAAGAGUUUGAGGUUGCUGUGAACUAUGAUGUGAUGGCACUCUACCAAGGGUGACAAAGUGAGACUCUGUCUCAGAAAUGAAGAAAAAAGGAAAGAAAUUCUCUCUCUGAAUAACCUUGGCUCGGGCGGCGUCUGUGGCUCAGUGAGUAGGGUGCCAGCCCCACAUACCAAGGGUGGCAGGUUCAAACCCGGCCCCAGACAAACUGCAACAACAACAACAAGAAAUAGCAGGUGUUGUGGUGGGUGCCUGCAGGCAAGAGAAUUGCCUAAGUCCAGGAGUUGGAGGUUGCUGUGAGCUGUGUGGCGCCAUGGCACUCUACUAAGAGUGACAAAGUGAGACUCGGUCUCUAAAAAUAAAUAAAUAAAUAAUAACCUUGGCUCGUUGGGUUGAAGGAAUUAUGAAAAAGGCAUGAAGAUAGGAAUAAUCUGGCAUGAACUUAGACCAAGAGGCUGAAACAAAGAGACUGUGGGCCCCCACUGUGGUCUGAGACUGUGUCAGGGAAAGGCUGGCCCUAUCUUUCUCACCUUUGUCCUUCUUUGUCUCCAAGGUCUUGAGUAAGGGCCAUAUUAUGAGUGCUAAACAUCAAUUAAAAAGCCUAGGUAGGGCGGCGCCUGUGGCUCAGUGAGUAGGGCGCCGGCCCCAUAUGCCGAGGGUGGCAGGUUCAAACCCAGCCCCG